CCUACGGGUGACAGCAGUGAGGAAUAUUGGUCAAUGGACGAGAGUCUGAACCAGCCAAGUAGCGUGAAGGAUGACUGCCCUAUGGGUUGUAAACUUCUUUUAUAUGGGAAUAAAACGUUCCACGUGUGGGAUUUUGUAUGUACCAUAUGAAUAAGGAUCGGCUAACUCCGUGCCAGCAGCCGCGGUAAUACGGAGGAUCCGAGCGUUAUCCGGAUUUAUUGGGUUUAAAGGGAGCGUAGGUGGAUUGUUAAGUCAGUUGUGAAAGUUUGCGGCUCAACCGUAAAAUUGCAGUUGAAACUGGCAGUCUUGAGUACAGUAGAGGUGGGCGGAAUUCGUGGUGUAGCGGUGAAAUGCUUAGAUAUCACGAAGAACUCCGAUUGCGAAGGCAGUUCACUGGACUGCAACUGACACUGAGGCUCGAAAGUGUGGGUAUCAAACAGGAUUAGAUACCCCUGUAGUG
rnacentral:rRNA from 1 species